UACGGGGGGGGCAAGCGUUGUUCGGAAUUACUGGGCGUAAAGGGCUCGUAGGCGGCCAACUAAGUCGGAUGUGAAAUCCCCAGGCUCAACCUGGGAACUGCAUCCGAUACUGGAUGGCUUGAAUCCGGGAGAGGGAUGCAGAAUUCCAGGUGUAGCGGUGAAAUGCGUAGAUAUCUGGAGGAAUACCGGUGGCGAAGGCGGCGUCCUGGACCGGCAUUGACGCUGAGGAGCGAAAGCCAGGGGAGCAAACGGG
rnacentral:rRNA from 1 species